rnacentral:rRNA from 1 species
GACGAACGCUGGCGGCGUGCUUAACACAUGCAAGUCGAACGGAAAGGCCCUGCUUGCAGGGUGCUCGAGUGGCGAACGGGUGAGUAACACGUGGGUGAUCUUCCCCUUACUUUGGGAUAAGCCUGGGAAACUGGGUCUAAUACUGGAUAGGACCAUGCUGUAGGUGGUGUGGUGGAAAGAUUAGUUUCGGUAAGGGGUGAGCUCGCGGCCUAUCAGCUUGUUGGUGGGGUAAUGGCCUACCAAGGCGUCGACGGGUAGCCGGCCUGAGAGGGUGGACGGCCACAUUGGGACUGAGAUACGGCCCAGACUCCUACGGGAGGCAGCAGUGGGGAAUAUUGCACAAUGGGCGCAAGCCUGAUGCAGCGACGCCGCGUGGGGGAUGACGGCCUUCGGGUUGUAAACUCCUUUCAGCCAUGACGAAGCCCUUGUGGUGACGGUAGUGGUAGAAGAAGCACCGGCUAACUACGUG